rnacentral:rRNA from 1 species
UACGUAGGGGGCAAGCGUUGUCCGGAAUCAUUGGGCGUAAAGAGCGUGUAGGCGGCUUGGCAAGUCUGACGUGAAAUCCCGCGGCUCAACCGCGGUAGGUCGUUGGAAACUGCCUCGCUAGAGUCCGGAAGAGGAGAGCGGAAUUCCUGGUGUAGCGGUGAAAUGCGCAGAUAUCAGGAAGAACACCCGUGGCGAAGGCGGCUCUCUGGGACGGUACUGACGCUGAGACGCGAAAGCGUGGGGAGCGAACAGG